AACGUUCUACAGUUCCAAACCAAGCAGGGCUGUCAAUCUGUUUGCAUGGGUUUUCAGCUAUUUUAGGUAAAUAUUAGCUUGUAAUGGGAAUUGAUCACUAUACUUACUGGGUUUAUAACGUUUUUUUUUACUAGGGAGUGAUGGAAAUACAGUACAUCAGUUAAUAAAGAUAAACAGUUAAUUGUGACCCAAAUAUAACUGUGGUUAUCUAUACCAACUACAGCAACACAGUUUAUCUUUUAUUUUUGUACCAAAAUAUGGCUAUAUAAAUGGCUAUCAAUCUGCUAAAACAUAAUUCCUACACUUUUACUAUAUUAAAAUCACAAAAAAGAUCGCCAACGCGGUUAUUUGUAACAGUGAAGCAUAACAGAAACACACUAAAUUCAUAUUUUAAAUUCACAUUAAAUGUUAAUAUAAUCAUACAUGAUUUUCCAGGAUACAUCACUCGUAUUACUUACCAAACACAAUGAAACACAUAGCAGCAUUGUGAAGCAGUGUGACUUUCUUAUAAGGCAUUUAGCUUGUCGCUGUUGCCCCCUAGUGUUACUCGUAAUAUAUAAAAAAGAUAAGUAUAAAGUAGAUGGCCACCAGUAAUAAAAUAUUAAACCAUUAAAUCUAUAUUAUUCACACAUUAUACACAACUCAUUAAAAUAUAAAAAAUUACUAGUUAUUAUUAACGAUAAUCAUUACCUACAGCAGAGUUCAUAAAAUAUCACUGUUGACUAUAUUAAUGAAAUGUCCGAAAAUGUAAAGAGAAACGGUAAUUUCAUCGAUUUACCAGCAGGUGCCAUUGAAAUGAAUGGGCUUCAGUGCUGCGUUUGGAACUAUGCGUCACUACCGGUCACUACAUGAAACGCUUUUACUUCCGCAUUCCAUUCUUACAACGGACGUCUAUGUGAGUGUCGUAACUCUAUUAUUAUACGACUCUGGGUGGGUUAAACGUAUUGGGUUGUUCUGUUGGGUUAUUCCUAGCUUGUAUUGGGUUAUUUCCAUAACAACCCAGAGAGUUGGGUUAAAAUCGGGCUCACGUCACGCAUUUUGAAUUUCAACGGUUGACCGGUGCCACUGCUGAGUGCGGACAGACACGAGAGACAUUCUUGGAGAUGUUGCAUUAAAAACCUUACAAAAUGGCCAGCAAGAUGAUUCAGCCUUCCUACAGUACCAAGAGGCAAAGCAAACAUUUAUUAAUUUGCAACCUGUCAGAAAACAAACAUAAUUCAGUAUUUGGAGGAGGAGGUAUGACGAAGACCCCAUGUCCUCCUAUGGGAUGAAUUCGACUAAUCACAAGCCUUUGUUAUCGUGGGGAGGCAUGGCCCUGGAGCAAGACCAGCAGUUGACAUGUGCUUUAAUUUUUUUUUUUUACAUUUUAUACAGAGUAUCCCAAGCCUUUCACUACUGUUAAGUAGUUUCUGUAACACACAAUACAUUUUGUACCAUGUGAUGUUUCCUGAACACACUGUCACCUGCUUAAAGGGACAGUUCCCCCAAAAAUGAAAAUUGUCAUAAUUUUCUUCCUCUCCUGUCGUUACAAACCUGUACACAUUUUUUUGUUCUGAUGACCACAAAGGAAGAUAUUUUGAGUAAUGUUUGAAACCAAACAGAUCAUGAGCCCCAUUGACUGUCAU